CACUGCAGCCACCGCCAGGACAAGCAGCAUGUAAAGACUCUGGAUGCCAAGAAGCCUGUGCCCACUGGCAAGGUGGGCUGCAGGCUUACAAGCAAGAUGACUUCAAGUGCACAGACAGAUGGGAACUUAGCUUGUCAGUUUCCCACAUGAAUUGGCACUUACAAGAAAUGAGGACUUUUGAAGUUUGUCAGGAAAAGUGAUGAAAGGUUGGGAUUUCGGCAUCCUCCUGUGUGAGCAAGGUCCAGUGUGUGGCUGCCUGCCUGUAAUGUCUCCAGCAUCAUGGCAGGGCAAUGAAAGACAUGGCCAGAUGAAGAAAUCGAGGCUCUUUAUUUUCCUAUAAACACUUUCUAUCCAUGCCCCUUUCCACCAACAGAGCUAAAUAGUCUUAAUGCCCUAAGUCUCAUCAAUUCCAGCUACAGAAGGUGCUGCCCCAAGUCAAGCUGUUGCUGAUGACAAAUAGCUCUUCAUGAUCUGGGUGUGAAGUGAGAUAUCACACACACACACACACACACACACACACACACACACACACACACACACACACACACUUGUGAUUCAAGAGCCCUGGUGAAAGGAUUAGAUUCUCAUUGCUUUCUAGCAGGAAGAUACUUCGGAGUAGACAGGGGAUUGUGGUUUUCCCGCUUCCGAACUUGUCCCCAGGGAACUUUCUGAAUGGCUCUACAGCCCUUUGGGUUUCAGUUUGAUUGCUGUCAUUUUAAAAGGCAUGCGCUGUUUGCAGACUCCUAAGUCAUAGAGUGAAAAAACUCAAUCCCAUUGAAGAGCAAAAGAAUAAAACUGCCUCAGAAGAUGGGGCAGAAUAGCAGGCAGCACAUGGAGGAGACAGAGGAGUUGAGAGAGGAAGAGAAGACUAAGGACGGAACUACAUCCUGAAGAGAGCAAGACCCCAGCAGCACUCUGGGAGAGAACUGGCAACACAGCCCCUGACUUCUUCAAUUCCACAAGUGCCAACUGAGACCGGGUCCCAUUCUGACCUUGACUGUCACCAAGGGGGGAAAGGUGGCUUCCAGAGUUGCUAUGGCAACCUUUCUUUCCAGCCUUUGCCUCUCAUUUUCUGCACUUCAACUUCUGAUAAAGGCAGUCAGGAAAGAAAGCCAAGGUGCACCUGGCACCCUCGGGAACAGCCAGCAUGCAGAAAGCUCCAGAUGCCUUCCCUCCAUCAUCGUUACUGUAGGACAGACUCUGAAGAACGCUGCCGGAACACACAGGACAUGGACAAGGAUGCACCUGCACUGUGCUCCGGAUAUGUGGAAAACUAGCAUGCAUCCCCUGUAGGGGAACAGCCACCAGCUGAGUCACUCCUGACACAGCUUCUAACAUCACAACCAACCUGGAUGGUGGAGGGUUCCACCCCAUCUUUGCAUAUCAACUGGAUUGCAAGUGGUAUCAAUGGAGAUACAUUUUUCUGAAAAUAUUUCUUAACACCAGAGAUGGAAGGUUGGCUGGACCUUGCAACCAAGGUAAUAAUAUGCCUUGAGAUUGCUUAAAAUUAUGUACUUGGCCUGCUGUCCUACUGUGUGCUCAGCCUGUUUGCCUUUAACCUGUCUUUAGUGGGACAAUGGAACCAAGGUUACUGUGCCUUGGAUUUCCUAUUGAGUCUGCUUUAAAACCCAAACUAAAUGCACAGCUUUAAUCUUAAA